rnacentral:rRNA from 1 species
CCUACGGGAGGCCGCAGUGGGGAAUAUUGCACAAGGGAGGAACCUGAGACGCAGCAACGCCGCGUGAAGGAAGAAUGCUUUCGGGUUGUAAACUUCUUUUAUCGGGGACGAAAAUGACGGUACCCGAGGAACAAGCCACGGCUAACUACGUGCCAGCAGCCGCGGUAAU